rnacentral:lncRNA from 1 species
CAGCAAGUGACACAAGCUGAUAGCAGGUUGAAAUUUCUUGUUUCAGCUCCAAACUUCGUAUGUGUAGAUUGUCAUUCUGUAACUGUCUCCUGCCUAGCCAUAACAACUGUUUUGUCUCUUUAGGACAGUGGUAGAAGAUGCUCCUUCUCCUUCUGUUUGCAAGUGCUUUCUCCUUGUUCCACAGGCUGGGGCUGGUCGCUAGAAGGGACCUCUCUCAAGCCUGUGAGGGCCAAUCAAGGGACUUCUGGCAUCUGAGGUGGUCAUCCACACGUCUUACAUGGUCUGCAGAAUGCAAAAACAGCACUGAGGAGACACCAGGAGAGAUAGAGACAAAACUGGCAUCAGGCAGUAUAACCUACAAAAUCGCAGACAGUUAUUAUUAGCUUUUUCUACCCAAAGGACAAGGCAAAGCAGGAAAAGAUGCAUUUUGCAGUUUAAGGUUUUGUCCCAUAGGAGCUGGAAUAACUUGAAUGAUAGAGACAGCCAUCACAACAUAGGUCUCAGCUGUGGAAUGAUUAAACCCCAGAAUUAAAGCAAGCUUUUACUAGACUAAAUAAAAACCUGUUAAACCUGAUUUCCACAGCUGCAUUUUGCCUUCUUAGGCUACAGCAAGACAGUGAAGAUUAGCUGAAGUCCUUCAUAAAGGAUGCCCACCUAAAAUAACCUUUGCUUCAUUAUCAUGCCUAAUCUCACAGAGCUGAAUUAUAUCUUUGUCACAACUGAAGUCACAACCCUGAAGGACUCUGCCACAUGUAUUUCAAAGUGGUGAGCGCCUUUAUCUACCUUAGAGGUACCCCAGGCAACAGGAAUCAGUUUCACUGUCUAUAUUAAUAUUUGUAGUACAGAGGCUGCUAAAUCUUUGCAUACAAUCUCUCAAUAUUUACCCAGAGCUGUAUGAAGGGGCAUGACCUUGCCUUUAAAUGGGAGCUGGCCACUGCUACUACAGAAGAUAAAGAAGUGGAAUAUAAGAGCUUUUUUUUUCUCCCCUGUAGUGUCAGAAGUCAGUCACCUUCCAGACAGCUGGGUGGUUUUGCUGAAGACUCACUACCCAUAUUCACAACCACUGUGCUGGUGCAUCAUCUAAUCAGCUACUUAACAGAGCAAGUGGGAGCAGGUUCUAUCUAGGUAGUAACUGCAUUCAGCUGUGACAUUUCAUUUAAUACCGAAAUAGAUUUUAGAUUUUUUUUUCUUUUUUUUUUUCUAAGAAAAUGCUCACAUGCUCCCCUCAAUUCUUGCCAGUUUAAUUACACCUUCAAUAAUUCAUUCGGUAGUUGCUCAAUCUGCCUACUUGAAUUAUUAAGUAGAAGAGUGGAAAAAUCUGCAACUAAGCACGUGAGAUGGAGCACCCUAGGAAUGCAGCUAGGGCUGGGCACACACAACAUCUGAGAGCGAGUCCUGGAGCAAUCCUCCAUCUGAGCCUAAUCUCAUGUCUCUGAACACACUGAAUUUCCUUGCUUCCCUCCCUCUCUGCCUUUGUGUUUUUCCUUCUUAUUAACACAUCCCGUCACCUUUCUGGAACAAAACUUUUGGGUGUAGUUGUGGCUUCCCCAGCAAACUGUCUGUCUUUUUAUAUGCUGAAUGGAAAUGUCAGGUCCCAAACACACUUCCAGGAAAGACCUCAGAAGAACAAGGAAAGGUUUAUUUUCAGGAGCUAGGGAAAAGCAUAAGGUAUCUCAGACUUCAGUGGGGGUAAAGAUAAGGGUUUCAUACAAUAGCUGAAGAUUAAAAAGAUAAAUCCUUAGAAGAAAAUAUGGGAAGAAGGAACAUCUCACAGAUGUGUCAGAGAUGUGGGAAUAGUAAAACAAAGCUGAUAGCUUCACUGACACAAAGGAAUGUGGAAAGCAAGAGGGAGAAUGGAUUUGGGAUUAUACAUAGAAUGGCAGAGAGAAAGUAAAAUGACACGAUAUAAUUAACUACCUUUAUUGAAGCUUUCUUUCAGCUGCUAAAUUUGCAUAUAUGCUUCCCAUAUUGAUCCAUGUUUCUGGUUAUUAACUUGUGACAUAGUCAUCCACUUGAAAAGAAUUUCUGAACAAUGCAAUCAGGUUAUUAAUUUCUCUGUUAGAGAGCUUGUUUAACCAAUAAGAGUUCUUAAUAUUUUAAGAAAAUUUUCCCCUACUUAGAAGAAUAUAUGGAAUAUGUGUGAAUAAGUAGUAGAAAAAACCUUACCUGUCAAGGAAAGUGGUGAGCUAAUUAGAGCACUUCUCACAGGCUGAUGCAAUAUUAAAAACUAAUUAAUUACAAAAUGUGGCUUUCUGCUGGCUUUGAGAAAACCAGUGCAUAAAUUAAUUGAAAGAUACUGCAGCCAGAUAUACUACAGGGCAAGCAAAUCAAAACCAUUCUGGUCAUUCUGGGUUAUAAAACCCACAACUGGUGGUGGUCCACAGCUAACAAUCUGUGUUCUCUCUGCAGGGCCCUAUGAGAUCAACGUGCUCAUGACAAGAUCUCAGCGCUUACGAUGAGAUCUCUGCUUUCCCUAUAGAGUACCAGCACCGAGCACUCUCGAGCUGCUCAUUCCCCUUCCCCCUCCAUACACAUUUCCAUAUUGCUGCUUUUCUGAUAAUCCCCCAUGGCCUUGGGACUUCCUCUGUAGCUAAAAUAAGAUAUAAAGCCAUACUAGUUUCAGCAUAAUAAGUACUGCAUCAGACCUCUACUUCUAUAUACUGCCAGUCUUUCCAGCCGAUCAGAAGCAGAAAAAAUUGGAUACGCACAUAUCUCAGGGUGAGCAGAUGGAGGAUUCUCCUCAGUACGAGCUCUUCAUUGUUAGUGUUAUAUAUUGCUGCCACUGGAGCUGUGCAGACACAAAGCAUUCUUUUGUAGAAGCUGAAUUUCACAAAAGAACAAUGUCCUUUUCUUUAAAGGAAAAUACAAAGUGGAAAGAAGUCAACGAGGUACAGAGAGUCCUCCAUGUUUAUUGACUAUCUUGGGGACUGAAUGCUGAAAGUAAUUUGCACCAGGUUGUUCACCAGUUCUUGAGCUUUGUCUCAGAAUUUUGCUUUACUGGAAAAUGACUGAGGAAGAGAGUGGGAAUUGUGCCAGUCCAGGAUUUAAAACUGAAAAUGGAGGAAGCCUGAGAAUACUGUUUAACUUCUGCCCUGCAUGAAUUCAUUUAUUGCAAAAUCUGGAGGGACCCACUCUACACACUGUAAAGCCCACCAGUAGGUUGACUGGAAAUAUGGAACCAUACUUAUCCGCGUGUACACAGCUUCGAUCAAUCAUUUACCAAAGGUGAAAUUAGCCCCAAGGUCACGCACAGAAAAUAGGAGGAGGGUACUAAGAAAAUUGGGCUGUAUAAAAUGUAAGCUCUUUUAAGAAAGGUGUCCAACAAUUAGUGUUUUCUUAAAAUUUCAAAAGGGGAAAGUAAGUGAUUAGGUUGGGAAAACACAAGACAUGCCAAAGCCAUGAAUAUUUUGGUAGUAAGGUACACAGCACAGGGAAGUCCACCAUGGCCAGAUUAUAAUGUAAAUAUCUAAAAAUUCAGGCACUGCAGCAAGAAUUGCUUCAUGGAUGGAGUCCAGGAAAGCAGAGCACUGAGCAGUCCAUGGAAAACAAUAGCUGGCAGUUUCUGCACCAGGAACAAGACUAGAGGUUGAUGCCUGGCCUGUCAAACAUCCCCCAUACUUCCGUUUCACUGAUGGAAGAACUAUGGUACAUUAAAAAUAGCUUCAAUUUAAAAAUCUGAGCUCCAUAUUCUCUACAGCAAGGGCAG